GGAGAAUAUAGCAAAGAAACCCCACUUCUUUAUGCAGAUACAUUGCAUGUGGGCUAUCAUUGCGUGUAUUGUCAUGUACCCAAACAACAUUCCACUUGCAAUAAAGGCUCUGACUUGCUCAACUCAGCCCUUUCAUUCAUUUCUCUGUCUUCUUUCUCUUCUCUCUUUCUCUCCAUCUCUUUUUGCCCUAUCUGAUAGGGUUUCCAUCUCCUUGUAUCUCCGAUCUUUUUCAUGCAAUCGCGUCUUGAAUCUCUAUACGGUGGUUUGUUAGCGUUUAUUGUUGUUGGGUUUCUCUUUUUUUCUCUCUUUGGAGGGUUUCUCGGUGCUAGACGGUGCGGAUUUGACCUCCCGGGGUUUUUUGAGCUGUACCCAUGUCUAAGCUCUUUGGUUUCGCUGGAGAUGAUGAUUUUUGCCCUGGGGGGUCAAUAUACACAAACCCCAAGGAGCCUAGCCUCUUUUUGUCCCUUGGUCAUCAUGUGGAUGUGUAUUUUCCUUCCAGCAAGAGAACUCGCAUCAGUGCUCCAUUUGUUUUUGGUGGAGAGAGGUUUGAGCAGAAAAGGCAAGCAUCUAUUGAAGUUCUGCCAGAUGAAUGUCUUUUUGAAAUCUUUAGACGUCUGCCUGGAGGAGAGGAAAGGAGUGCCUGUGCUUGUGUUUCAAAGCGCUGGCUUUCUCUUCUGAGUAAUAUGUCCAGGGAUGAACUCUGUGACAAGAAAACUACCCAAUUGUUGAAUGAAUCAGUUGAAAAGAAUGGUGAGGUGAAGUCUCGGGCUGAAAAUCAAGAAAUUGAGGGUGGUGGAUGCCUUUCCAGGUGCUUGGAGGGGAAGAAGGCCACUGAUAUUAGACUGUCAGCUAUUGCUGUUGGAACUGCUAGUCGAGGAGGUUUGGGAAAGCUUUCAAUCUGUGGAAACAAUUCUUACCAUGGGGUGACAAGUGCAGGUCUGAGGGCAAUUGCACGUGGCUGCCCUUCGCUUAAGGCUCUUACCUUAUGGAAAUUGCCUUUGGUUGGUGAUGAAGGUCUGUACGAGAUUGCUAAUGGCUGUCACAUGCUGGAGAAGCUUGAUCUUUGUGGGUGCCCUGCAAUUUCUGACAAGGGUUUGCUUGCAAUUGCCAGGAACUGUCCAAAUUUGACUGAUCUAACAAUAGAAGCUUGUUCAGGCAUUGGGAAUGAGGGUCUGCAAGCUGUUGGCCGAUAUUGCACCAAUCUAAAAUCCAUCUCAAUCAAGAACUGCCCAGUUGUUGGGGAUCAAGGAAUUUCAGGUCUGGUAUCUUCAGCAACAUAUGGUUUGUCAAAGAUGAAGCUCCAGGCUUUGAAUGUCACUGAUGUGUCUCUGGCUGUUAUUGGGCACUAUGGCAAGGCAGUUACUGAUCUUGUUCUUACCAACCUCCCAAAUGUGAGUGAGAAGGGCUUUUGGG
rnacentral:misc_RNA from 1 species